AGAAAACCAAGGCUCAGACAGAGUAACUUUACCCAGCCCACACAGCUGAUCCAUCUUCGGUUGUGAAUCCGGCCCGGAAUGCAGCCACCCCUUAGAGCAACCCCCCUUGCUGCUCGUGCCCUGCUGUGCUACUGCCUCAGUCACUUCCUGCUUGGUCAAGACCACAGCUGCUGAUGUCACAGCUGAGGCACAUCAGAAAGGCUGCCUGAUUCAAAGAAAGCUGCCGGAUAAAUCAUAGAGCACAGACACUUCUACCUCAUGCUCUUAUGGGACUUUAGGAACCAAACAUAAGCACCUAUGGAAAAUGCACGGCGGUCUUGAAAGGCUGUGGUCUUUAUCAGAAAAUAUCUGAAUGACUGUUUGUUAUGUCAGUCCUACUCUGCAGGCUUGCUAAGAUGAUGAUUGAAAGGGCUCUUGGUUUCUGCUUUGGAAUCUGGCAUUUAUGUUUUGAAGCGUUGUGAGCAAGCGAUGUGGCAGAUUGCAGGGUGAGGGGGACAAACCUGGGCCAGGAGCCAGGGGUUUCUCUACCCCCUUCCCUGACUUACAGCUGGAACUGGGCUCAGUGGUUUCAGCCUCAUUUGCUAAGAAGGUCUGGGUAUGUAAUCCUGGCUGCAUCUUAAAAUCCCUAGGAGCUUUUAAGACAUAUUGACACAUAAGCUCUAACUCACAUGAAACGAAAACACAUCUCUGGGGCUGGGCUGAGCAAAUGCAUUUUUUAAAAGGCCCCUCAGGUGAUUCUGUCUCAGAGAUGUUGAAAACCAGUGGGUUAGGAGCUCAGUCAUCCACUUUCAGAUCUGUGAUUAUGCCACUAUUAAAUACAGUUGGCUAUCACAUAGAUUUUAUGCUUUAGCUUGUUCUUUUUUCCUUUGCUAUACCAAAUAAAAUCUUCUGAGCUGUAGUUCCAGUCCUUAAAAUAAUGGUUGUUACCAUACUGAGGUUAAACAUUAGUGCAUUUGCUUAACAAGGACUUUAAAACUUAUCACACUGCCAUAAUUUUUAAUGGUUUCUAUAAUGAUUAAUUAAUAAGAAAAUCAAUAAUUGGAUUUUAAGCAGGAAACUAGGCAGGAAAGUUGAAAUUCAUAGACCAAUUCAAUGGAAAACAUUAAAAUGUAUUGGGAGAUGCCCAAUAUUCUAUGCUGUUUGGUGGUUCACUGGUUUCUAAUCUAUUAUAACGGCACCCAUAGUUAAAAAGCACUAGUUUUUUUUUGGUCUGAUAGUUGAAAAAACAACAAUCCUUUGCACGUAGGAAUUAUUUUUUCCAACAUCAUAAUUUCUGACUUUGCACAUAUUCUAUUGAAUUGCCAAAAUGACUUUAAAGAGUCUAGUACAUGCAGGGAAUAUUACAAUUGCAAUCAUUAUUUUAACACCAUCUCCUCCCCCUCUUCCCUUCCCAAAAGAUAUAAAGACAUAAACAUCAUCUGCUGCCAAAUAAAUCCUGAAAUUCGAGGGCGAUGCUGGGAAGGUAUGAAAUUAGAGGGAGGCAUGUUGCUUUUGCACUUUCAGAUCAAUGGCUGAAUUCCAGACCCGGGGAAGCCUUUCAGAUCCGCAUGUAAUUUGUUUAAACAAUUGCUGUUCAUCUGCCACAGCAGCACUUGUAAUGCCGCAGGGAGGAACUUGCAGCAUUUCUUGCUCACUUCAAGAAAUCAACUAUAACAAACCUCUUCCAGAAGACUACGACAUCCAUAUUUCUGCAAUAGUUAGAUAAAAGUUAAAGAACUGUUCCUUUUGUGAAUAUUCACAGUCCACUGCAUAUAAUCGUUUAUGAAAACUGAACCCUAUAAAGAGCGAGAGUAGAGGACUG
rnacentral:lncRNA from 1 species